AUUGAACGCUGGCGACAUGCCUUACACAUGCAAGUCGAACGGCAGCAUGGAGAGCUUGCUCUCUGAUGGCGAGUGGCGAACGGGUGAGUAAAGCAUCGGAACGUACCGUGUAGUGGGGGAUAACGUAGCGAAAGUUACGCUAAUACCGCAUACGCACUGAGGUGGAAAGCAGGGGAUCGCAAGACCUUGUGCUAUACGAGCGGCCGAUGUCAGAUUAGCUAGUUGGUAGGGUAAAGGCCUACCAAGGCGACGAUCUGUAGCGGGUCUGAGAGGAUGAUCCGCCACACUGGGACUGAGACACGGCCCAGACUCCUACGGGAGGCAGCAGUGGGGAAUUUUGGACAACGGGGGCAACCCUGAUCCAGCCAUGCCGCGUGAGUGAAGAAGGCCUUCGGGUUGUAAAGCUCUUUCGGCCGGGAAGAAAUCGCACAGGCUAAUACUCUGUGUGGAUGACGGUACCGGCAUAAGAAGCACCGGCUAACUACGUGCCAGCCGCCGCAGUAA
rnacentral:rRNA from 1 species